rnacentral:rRNA from 1 species
AGUAACACGUGAGCAACCUGCCUUUCANAGGGGGAUAACAGUUGGAAACGACUGCUAAUACCGCAUAACGCUGCGAUGGGGCAUCCCGAUGCAGCCAAAGGAGCAAUCCGCUGGAAGAUGGGCUCGCGGCCGAUUAGCUAGUUGGUGGGGCAACGGCCCACCAAGGCGACGAUCGGUAGCCGGACUGAGAGGUUGAUCGGCCACAUUGGGACUGAGACACGGCCCAAACUCCUACGGGAGGCAGCAG